AGCUCCAAUAGGAUAUAUCAAUGCUGUUGCAGUUAAAAAGCUCGUAGUUGAAUUUCUGGGAGGUUUUGUUUGUUGUUUCGAUUGGGAGUGAAAGCUCUUUUUCAGACAGCCGCCUUUCAUCUUGUGGAAAAUCUGUUUGUUUCUUUGUUUACUCAAAGAGACGAAUGGCCCACUCAGUCACUGAGAGCAAAUUGGAGUGCUCAAAGCAGGCUUUAUAGCUUUGAACAAAUUAGCUUGGAAUGACAAGAUAAGACUUUAGUUUUAUUUUGUUGGUUAUGAAACAAAAGUAAUGAUUAACAGGAACAGUUGCGGGGGUACUCGUAUUGAAAGGUCAGAGGUGAAAUUCUUGGAUUCUUUCAAGACGAACGGCUGCGAAAGCAUUUACCAAGGAUGUUUUCA
rnacentral:rRNA from 1 species